CAGCCGCCGCGGUAAAACGGAGGGUGCAAGCGUUAAUCGGAAUUACUGGGCGUAAAGCGCACGCAGGCGGUCUGUCAAGUCAGAUGUGAAAUCCCCGGGCUUAACCUGGGAACUGCAUUUGAAACUGGCAGGCUAGAGUCUUGUAGAGGGGGGUAGAAUUCCAGGUGUAGCGGUGAAAUGCGUAGAGAUCUGGAGGAAUACCGGUGGCGAAGGCGGCCCCCUGGACAAAGACUGACGCUCAGGUGCGAAAGCGUGGGGAGCAAACAGGAUUAGAUACCCCGGUAGUCCCUGUCUCUUAUAC
rnacentral:rRNA from 1 species